GAAAUGCGAUAAGUAAUGUGAAUUGCAGAAUUCAGUGAAUCAUCGAAUCUUUGAACGCACAUUGCGCCCGCCAGUAUUCUGGCGGGCAUGCCUGUUCGAGCGUCAUUACAACCCUCAGGCCCCCGGGCCUGGCGUUGGGGAUCGGCGGAAGCCCCCUGCGGGCACAACGCCGUCCCCCAAAUACAGUGGCGGUCCCGCCGCAGCUUCCAUUGCGUAGUAGCUAACACCUCGCAACUGGAGAGCGGCGCGGCCACGCCGUAAAACACCCAACUUCUGAAUGUUGACCUCGAAUCAGGUAGGAAUACCCGUUGAACUUAAGC
rnacentral:misc_RNA from 1 species